rnacentral:rRNA from 1 species
AUUGAACGCUGGCGGCAGGCUUAACACAUGCAAGUCGAGCGGAGAUGAGGUGCUUGCACCUUAUCUUAGCGGCGGACGGGUGAGUAAUGCUUAGGAAUCUGCCUAUUGGUGGGGGACAACAUUCCGAAAGGAAUGCUAAUACCGCAUACGUCCUACGGGAGAAAGCAGGGGAUCUUCGGACCUUGCGCUACUAGAUGAGCCUAAGUCGGAUUAGCUAGUUGGUGGGGUAAAGGCCUACCAAGGCGACGAUCUGUAGCGGGUCUGAGUGGAUGAACCGCCGCCCGGGGACUGGAAGACGGACCAGACUCCCGACGGAGGCAGCAGUGGGGAAUAUUGGGCUAUGGGGGGAACCCUGAUCCAGCCAUGCGGCGUGGGUGAAGAAGGCCUUAUGGUUGUAAAGCACCUUUAGCGAGGAGGAGGCUACUGAGACUAAUACUCUUGGAUAGUGGACGUUACUCGCAGAAUAAGCACCGGCUAACUCUGUGCCAGCAGCCGCAGUAA